rnacentral:rRNA from 1 species
UUUCCUACGGGGGGCAGCAGUGGGGAAUAUUGCACAAUGGGGGAAACCCUGAUGCAGCAACGCCGCGUGAGUGAAGAAGUCAUUCGUGAUGUAAAGCUCUAUCAGCAGGGAAGAAAAUGACGGUACCUGAGUAAGAAGCCCCGGCUAACUACGUGCCAGCAGCCGCGGUAAUACGUAGGGGGCAAGCGUUAUCCGGAUUUACUGGGUGUAAAGGGAGCGUAGACGGCAGCGCAAGUCUGAAGUGAAAUCCCAUGGCUUAACCAUGGAACUGCUUUGGAAACUGUGCAGCUGGAGUGCAGGAGAGG